CCUACGGGAGGCAGCAGUGAGGAAUAUUGGUCAAUGGGCGCUAGCCUGAACCAGCCAAGUAGCGUGAAGGAUGACUGCCCUAUGGGUUGUAAACUUCUUUUAUAUGGGAAUAAAGUGCAGUAUGUAUACUGCUUUGCAUGUACCUUAUGAAUAAGGAUCGGCUAACUCCGUUCCAGCAGCCGCGGUAAUACGGAGGAUCCGAGCGUUAUCCGGAUUUAUUGGGUUUAAAGGGAGCGUAGGCUGGUUGUUAAGUCAGUUGUGAAAGUUUGCGGCUCAACCGUAAAAUUGCAGUUGAUACUGGCAGCCUUGAGUACAGUAGAGGUAGGCGGAAUUCGUGGUGUAGCGGUGAAAUGCUUAGAUAUCACGAAGAACUCCGAUUGCGAAGGCAGCCUGCUGGACUGUAACUGACGCUGAUGCUCGAAAGUGUGGGUAUCAAACAGGAUUAGAUACCCCAGUAGUC
rnacentral:rRNA from 1 species